rnacentral:rRNA from 1 species
UACGUAGGGUCCGAGCGUUGUCCGGAAUUACUGGGCGUAAAGAGCUCGUAGGUGGUUUGUCGCGUUGUUCGUGAAAACUCACAGCUUAACUGUGGGCGUGCGGGCGAUACGGGCAGACUAGAGUACUGCAGGGGAGACUGGAAUUCCUGGUGUAGCGGUGGAAUGCGCAGAUAUCAGGAGGAACACCGGUGGCGAAGGCGGGUCUCUGGGCCGAAACUGACGCUGAGGAGCGAAAGCGUGGGGAGCGAACAGG